rnacentral:rRNA from 1 species
UACAGAGGGGGGCUAGCGUUGCUCGGAAUCACUGGGCGUAAAGGGUGCGUAGGCGGGUUUUUAAGUCAGAGGUGAAAUCCUGGAGCUCAACUCCAGAACUGCCUUUGAUACUGAAAAUCUUGAGUAUGGGAGAGGUGAGUGGAACUGCGAGUGUAGAGGUGAAAUUCGUAGAUAUUCGCAAGAACACCAGUGGCGAAGGCGCUCACUG